UGCUGUAGUGUAUGUCAGUUCAACCAGAGUGGUCGCCAAUUGAUAGAUCUGUCAGAAUCCUUGAUUAUAUUCUAUUCAAGCAUAUUUUCAUGGUGAAAGUUUUCUUCGUAAAUUUGUUAGUUGUGUUUCUUUUAAUGUUCUAAACGACUGUCGUUUGUCAUUUGUUUUCAAAUCAAUAAUUAUGUUUGUGAAGCAGACGAUAUGUUUUCAUUUCUAAGAAACUUGGUGUAGACGUCUGUGUUUUCCUAAUUUGGAAAUGGAAAGGUAUUGCUCAAACUUGGUGAUCAGCUCUAAACAAGUUUUCACAUUUAAGACUGUUUGACUGAAAAGAUGUUAUUCACUGGAGGAGCUGGGUAUAUCGGAAGCCCCUUUGUGGUUCUUGGAAUCCGGCUAUGUGGUUAUUUCUUGCAAGAAGUUUGCCCACUCUAAUAAUGGAAAAAAAGCUCAGUGACUGCCCUGCUCAGUUUCAUCAAUGUGUUCUAUAUAAUAUAGUUAUAUUUAUUAUUUAAUAUCUAGGCGAAGAAGUUAAAUCUCAUAAACAGCUAAGAAACACCCAAUUGAUAAUUCUUCGAGCAAAGAUUCAUCAAGUAGUUCAUUCAGGGCUGAGAAAGAGAAGGCAAAGUUGCAGCAGAUGCUGUUAAUUAUCACAAUUAAAAUAUUGAUGACAGUUCAACACAGUUCAUUUCAGAAAUGACUUAAGUCGAAUUCAAGAACUUAAUAAAGGAACUUAUGACAUGGCAUUUAUUAAAAACCAUGCAAAGAAUAAUGUUGCGUCCCUCACAUAUUUUCCAGGCUAAGAAAGAGAAGUCAAAGUUCCAGCAGGAGCUGUUUCAUGCUCAUCAUUAAGUUGAGUCAGCCAACAAAGAUAAGGCAAGAUGAAACGUACACCAAGCCGCCACUCGCUAAAUAAUUUUGAUCCAAAGUUUAAAUUUAAAUUUCCGCUUCGAUUUGACCAUUUCAACCACUUUGAACUUUCCGCUCAAUCGCACGUCUCGCUAUAGCUGACGUGUUGCAGUGGAGAAAUUGGCAGCAACUGAUGCCGUUCCACAACUCGUCCCUUUUCGGCUUUUCCACAUUGGAUAUUAAACAAAAGAAUGUGAACUGCUGCUGUUUCCAGCUAUUGUAAACCAUCCGCAGUUAUCCGGGGCAGGCGGAAGGAAUUUCGUGAGAAAGUGCUGGAAUGGAGUCGUAUAACUAAAAAGGCAAACGUCUAGCGAUCAGUUCGAUGGAUGUGAACGAUGUGAGAAUGCGACGUCCAACUCUGCACCUGUUUACAUUACACAAAAAAGCAAGUUAAGAGCAGAUGAACAGGUCUGAUUUGAGCGUCGAUUUUUGUAAUGAUGCGGUCAACAUGUUCGGUUACGGCUGUCAGUGGUGCACAUCAACCGGAUGGUCUCAGGAUUCCAUAUGCCGUGCAGACUCAAUUUUAUAUUCGCUCCAUCUGU